CACCCACGGUCCCGCGCCGCUCAGGUAGUCAGAGCCCCUGGCAUCUUACCCCACCGCGCGGCCCUGCGCCGAUCCCCAGCCUUCUCGGCAGAAACCCGGAUCCUACCUCGAGAACUCGCGUCAGGGUUCUCAGAGAUUCCUGGUCCGGUCUUCCCAGAACUCAAGGGGCUGCCGCGCCAAAACUCUGGGCUCCAGUGCCCGCCCUUCUAAGAUCUCGGUCGUGCCUCCCCCUAACCCGCAGCGCCCCGUUACCCCAGAUCCCGGCCUUGUUCUCACAGGAGUUGGGGAUAUCAGAACUCUUGGGAACCCAGCUGUCCUGCCCCUUUUAGAGCCGAGAGAACCCGGAGUCCCCUGACUUCAUGGAGUCUCCCUGAGAACCCAGGCCCACAAAAUGCUUCCCUCUAGCCUUUCCCUUGUCCUGCAACUAAGAUACUCCCCCUUACCUUAGGGUGGUUUAUUUAUUUAUUUAAGAAAUCAAGGCACAGUCGGAGCCCUAGAGGAUGCGGUCUUUGGCAGAAAAGGCAGUAAGAGGAAGGGGACUUUGCCUCUUCCCAUAACACUGGCUUCUGAACCUCUGCCACUGAAGCCAUAUGUUUUGGGAGGGGAAGGGGCUGAAAGGCAGACAUUAUUACCUUGUAUGAACCCUGGGGAUACCGUGAUUCCAAGGCACACUGAGAAUGCUGGGAAGGUGGUGGUUGUUGAUGUGGGGUCCAAGUGGUGUGUGCUUAGGAUGCUUGCAGAAUAUGGGAGGAAAAAGGUACUAGGAGGCCUUAACGAGGGUGCUUGUGUUUUGGGGGAAGGGCAGUAAAGUUGGAAAGGUGUUUUUAAAGCAGAUGUAGCCACACAAGGUAUACUUACUUGAUUCAACAAAUACUUAAUGGAGUGCUUUCCAUAUACCAGGCACCUCAGUAGAAGGGUAUUCGGUGUUGAAGAGCACAGAAAUGUUUACUGCCCUCUUGGAGCUUAUAGUCUGAUUACUUAACCUUGGUUUCUUUAUCUGUAAAGUGGGAACAUAAUAGUACCUACCUUAUCGGGCUGUUGUCUGGAUUGAAAUAAUACAUAUAAAGUACUUCAAGAGUACCUGAGAUGAGUUAUCUAACAUAGACAUUAUUGUUAUUAUUGAAAGAAAAAUAGGUAGCAUUUAUUGGGUGAUUAGUGGAAACUUGAUAUGGUGCAUUAGUGCUUCACUUACAUUAUCUUUUGAAGCACAGUUGUCCCUGUUUUAUGUGGAAAAAACCCGAAGCUCACAGAGGGAAUGUAAUGUGCCCACCAUCUCCCAACACUCUAAGUCUGCUUCUCUUGCUUUCUUUUCAGUGCUCAAGAGCUGUCCCAGGAAAUCAAGGCUUUUCUGACUGGCGUGGACCCUAUUCUGGGCCACCAACUCUCGGCCCGGGAACAUGCUCGCUGUGGCCUUCUCCUGCUCCGCUCUUUGCCACCGGCUCGGGCCGCCGUGCUUGACCACUUGCGAGGCGUCUUUGAUGAGAGCGUCCGGGCCCACCUGGCUGCCCUGGAUGAAAGCCCUGUGGCUGGCCCCCCUCACCUCCGUCCACCCCCACCCUCCCACGUCCCUGCUGGGGGACCUGGUCUAGAAGAUGUGGUACAGGAAGUGCAGCAGGUGCUGUCUGAGUUUAUCCGGGCCAACCCGAAGGCCUGGGCACCUGUGAUUAGCGCGUGGUCCAUUGACCUCAUGGGGCAGCUGAGCAGCACAUACUCAGGCCAGCACCAGCGUGUGCCCCAUGCCACUGGCUCCCUCAACGAAUUGCUGCAGCUGUGGAUGGGCUGCCGGGCCACCCGCACAUUAAUGGACAUCUAUGUUCAGUGUCUCUCAGCUCUCAUUGGUAGUUGCCCAGAUGCCUGCGUGGAUGCCUUGCUGGAUACCUCUGUCCAGCAUUCCCCACACUUCGACUGGGUUGUGGCCCAUAUUGGCUCCUCUUUUCCUGGCACCAUCAUCUCCCGAGUUCUCUCCUGUGGCCUUAAGGAUUUCUGUGUUCACGGUGGGGCUGGAGGUGGAGCUGGUGGCAGUGGUGGAAGCUCUUCUCAAACCCCCUCUAUAGACCCCUUU
rnacentral:lncRNA from 1 species